rnacentral:rRNA from 1 species
CACGUAGUUAGCCGUGACUUUCUGGUUAGAUACUGUCAAGGUUGAGGCAGUUACUCCUCAACUUGUUCUUCUCUAAUAACAGAACUUUACGAUCCGAAGACCUUCUUCAUUCACGCGGCAUUGCUCCAUCAGGUUUGCACCCAUUGUGGAAGAUUCCCUACUGCUGCCUCCCGUAGGAGUCUGGGCCGUGUCUCAGUCCCAGUGUGGCCGAUCACCCUCUCAGGUCGGCUACGUAUCGUUGCUUUGGUGAGCCAUUACCUCACCAACUAACUAAUACGCCGCGGGAUCAUCUAAGAGCGACAGCAAAGCCGUCUUUCAUUCAUGAACCAUGCGGUUCGCGAAUCUAUGCGGUAUUAGCAUCCGUUUCCGAAUGUUAUCCCCCACUCCUAGGCAGAUUCCCCACGUGUUACUCACCCGUUCGCCACUCAUCCACACUCUGCAAGCAGAGUGCUUCAGCGUUCGACUUGCAUGUAUUAGG